UUUCCUCUGUCCCCGCCCCCACCCCCGGCACCCGGUCCAGAUCCUCCAGGUGUUGCAGAACUCCGCGAUCAGCGCCGGGAUCACGGGGGAGACGCGUGACGCGGUCCCUCGCCGGUGGCCCCCGCCAGCCCCGGGGUCCCCUUCUCCUCCAUCAGCGGGCAGCGCAUCCGGGGGCGCCGCGGCGAAAGAAGUUCAAACUGGGCUUUUAUUUCAAACGGGCACGGCGAAGUGAGGGGGACCGACGGGGUGUGAGGCAAAUUUAGAAAUCGUAAUAAUAAGGAAAGAAAAAAAGGAAAAUAGAAAACGGAACGAAGGAGGUUGAGAAUUUUGUUAAAUCCCUAAUCGCGGGCUCCUCGCCUCCUUCUCGAAGGAAACUGCAGCUUUGAUCUCAUUUCCAGCUGCGUCGGGUGCAUUUUGGAGCCACAAGUUGGUCUCUCUUCGCGCAGACCUUCCCGACGCUGGCGGGUCCUCCGCGAGGAGACGCGUUCCCGGGAGCGCAGCUGCUCCGCGCCGUCCUUAGCGCCAUCGCCCUGGCUCGCGGCUCCCUGCGCGGCAGAAACCCCGGUCCCCUUCCAUCCACUCCGGCCUCAACUCUCUUCCUCCCCCGCCCGCUCCCCUCCCGCCCCCCGCCCUCCCCGGAUAAAUAAAUGCGCUCCUUGUGCCCGCGGCAGCCUUUCUCCCAGCCAGUGCCACGUCCUGACGUUUUGGGUCCUAGCUCCCCAAACCUCCUCUCGGACUGCAGUCCCUUUCCUCCUCUGCCCCUCUUUCUUUCCCCUUUUCCCUUCCCUUUCUCUGCUUGUGAUCAGUAAAAUACAAUUACCCAAUUACCUCCCAUCAUCUUAGCACUGAUUGGUCAAUUGCAUUAACACUUGAAGUCGGGGACGAGGGGAUUGGAGCCUCUGCGGUGUGGCACUGCUGCCACCUGGAGGGCAGAGCCGGAACAGCUGAAUUUCAAAGCAACCCCCACGCUCCGAGAGCCAGGAGUUGGAGCUACAAAGGGGAAGACAUUGAAAUCAAAUCACCACUAGGAUUCAAAAAUAUCACCAAACGCACAAAGCUGUUGCUUUGCAGAUUGCUGUGCAAGAGACUCUCCUCUCCCUAGCCAAGCAGGCUGGUCACAAGGCAUUUGGUUGGUGAAAUGAAACUACCAUGUUGUUUCCCUGUGUGCUGGUGACUCUACCUGGUGUGAUCUUCAGCAAACAGCAGAGGACAGCAUCUUGUAACCAGAAAUACAAAAUAGCAAACAGAAGGAAUUCAGUAACUUUGCUUAAACAUUGAGAAAACAUGGACGUUUCUGUUGUGUUUAUUAAUUUGAUUUCACAGGUUUUAGGCCACUGUAUUCAAUUCAAACACUUACGAUUUGGGUGUUUAGGUUAUCAAUUCUGGGAAUAGAUAGUCCCUUUCACUCUCAAUUCUAUUAAACAGGGCCACAAUAUCCUGUGGGAUAAUCGUAUAAAGCUUGCCUCUAUCGUCACACAUAAUGACAUGUGAAUUAACUUCUUUAGAUCAACUUCUUUUGAAAACUACUUUAAUGAUAAAAAUGCCGUAUUUCGUGGGAACUUACUACAUGUGUUAUGCCAUACGAAAUGUUAUGCUAGACAAGAAUGUUGUAUUUUAGAACUAUAAGAUAUCCUAAUGGUUAUUCCUUCUUUGUUCCUUGAAAUACAGAUGAAGAUACUAAAGUCCAAGUAGCUUUGCAGAUUUGUUUCUACAAUGGCUACCUCUCCACCCAGUUUCUACCCCAUAUGGUCUUACUUUUUGGUGCUUCCCUACGUUAAAAUUUUUUUUAGCAAUAACUGGCAUUUAAUGACAUUUGUGAAUGCCAAGUUCAAAGUAUGUUCUAAGUAUGUUAUAAAUGUCAAUUCAUGCAAUCCUGUAAAUAAUUUUAUGAGUUAGGUGUAAUUAAUUACCAUCCCAUUUUAUAGAUAAUGAAAGUAGAGUUGAGGGCACCCAGCUAGAAAGUGACAGAGGCAAGAUUUUUAGCUCAGAUUAUUUUGCUUCAGAGAUCAUGGUUUUAACAGAUACUUCCUGUUAUGAUACUAGGGUGGAAAUGACUUGCUUAUAUCUGUAUUCAUCCCCCACCCCCCGCCGCCCA